rnacentral:tRNA from 1 species
GGGGCUGUAGCUCAGUUGGGAGAGCGCGUCGUUCGCAACGAUGAGGCCGUCGGUUCGAUCCCGAUCAGCUCCA